AUCAUUUGUAUGUGAUUAAUAAUCAUCCUACCCUUUGUGAAUUUUGUUUUUGUUUAAAUUAUGUUGUCUAUCCCUAGAUUUGGAAAAAGUGUUUGUAAAAAGACUUUUCCAUUCUAGGAAUAGGCUUUCAUAGACAUUUUUUUAAAUUAAACAUUUGAAUUCAUUUGUCUAAAUUAUUUUUAUAAUAUAAAAACAACUUUUGACAAUAGAUCUCUUGGUUCUCGCAACGAUGAAGAACGCAGCAAAAUGCGAUAAGUAGUGUGAAUUGCAGAAUACGUGAAUCAUCGAAUCUCGAACUGCAUAUGCACUUUUCUAGUUUUACUAGAAAAGUAUGUCUGUUUGAGUAUCAGUAAAUAUUCUCAUAAAACUAUUUGUUUUAUGGUUAUGAGUGUUUUACAACGAUACAAGUUGUUUCACUUUAAAUUUUUUUUUAAAAUUUGAAACUUUUUCUAAUUUUAAUAUAAAAUUGGAUAAAAUUUUCCCGUAAAAAGGAAUAACCUAAACAAUUUUAUAACUAUUAGAAUUUUUUCAAAAUAAAAAGGAAAAUUUAUUAAAAUAACUUGAUCUCAAAAUCAGAUAAGAGUACCCGCUGAACUUAAGCAUAUCAAUAAGCGGAGGAAAAAAACUAACAAGGAUUCCCUUAGUAACGGCGAGUGAAGCGGAAGAGCUCAAAUUUGAAAUCUUCAAGGUUUUACCUUGAACGAAUUGUAGUUUAAAGAAGUGUUUUCUGUUGAGUUUUGGUAAAAGUUCUUUGGAUAGGACAUCAUAGAGGGUGAGAAUCCCGUAUUUGACCAUUAUUUUCAGCUGUGUGAUACACUUUCAAAGAGUCGGAUUGUUUGGGAAUGCAGUCCAAAAUGGGUGGUAAAUUUCAUCUAAAGCUAAAUAUUGGCGAGAGACCGAUAGCGAACAAGUACCGUGAGGGAAAAUGAAAAGAACUUUGAAAAGAGAGUUAAACAGUACGUGAAAUUGUCAAAAGGGAAGCGUUUGACACCAGUGUUGUUUUCUCGAAAUCAAUUAAAAAGAGUUUGAUUUUGUUGUGUAUUGACCUUAACAGCUUGCAUUUCAAUUUCUUGCUUUUUUUAAUGCACUUUUCGUUUAACAAGUCAACAUCAGUUUCUUUUGUUGUAAAAGGUCAUUGGAAGGUGGCUUUUCUUUCGGAGAAAGUGUUUAUAGCCUUUGACUUCUGCAAUGGAGAGACUGAGGUCUGCACGUAGAUCCUUCGGGGUUAGAUACAUUGUGCUAAGUUAUAGCUUUUUAUAGGCAACUUGUUGACUAUGAUUAGUCUUGUAGCUUACUCGCUUAUGCUAUUUACCUACGCUUAGGAUGUUG
rnacentral:misc_RNA from 1 species